rnacentral:rRNA from 1 species
GACGAACCGUGCGAACGUUGUUCGGAAUCACUGGGCUUAAAGGGCGCGUAGGCGGGUGUGCAAGUCUGUGGUGAAAGCCUCCAGCUUAACUGGAGAAGUGCCGUGGAUACUGCACAUCUUGAGGAGGGUAGGGGCAUCUGGAACGGUCGGUGGAGCGGUGAAAUGCGUUGAUAUUGGAAGGAACGCCGGAGGCGAAAGCGACGCACUGGAUCUCUUCUGACGCUGAGGCGCGAAAGCUAGGGGAGCAAACGGG